rnacentral:rRNA from 1 species
AACGAACGCUGGCGGCAGGCUUAACACAUGCAAGUCGAACGCCCCGCAAGGGGAGUGGCAGACGGGUGAGUAACGCGUGGGAAUCUACCCAUCUCUUCGGAAUAGCUCCGGGAAACUGGAAUUAAUACCGCAUACGCCCUACGGGGGAAAGAUUUAUCGGGGAUGGAUGAGCCCGCGUUGGAUUAGCUAGUUGGUGGGGUAAAGGCCUACCAAGGCGACGAUCCAUAGCGGGGCUGAGAGGAUGAUCAGCCACAUUGGGACUGAGACACGGCCCAAACUCCUACGGGAGGCAGCAGUGGGGAAUAUUGGACAAUGGGCGCAAGCCUGACCCAGCCAUGCCGCGUGAGUGAUGAAGGCCUUAGGGUUGUAAAGCUCUUUCGUCCGGGAAGAUAAUGACGGUACCGGAAGAAGAAGCCCCGGCUAACUUCGUGCCAGCCGCCGCAGUAA